rnacentral:rRNA from 1 species
UACAGAGGGUGCGAGCGUUAAUCGGAAUUACUGGGCGUAAAGCGUGCGUAGACGGCUAUCUAAGUCGGGUGUGAAAGCCCCGGGCUCAACCUAGGAAUUGCAUUCGAGACUGAAUAGCUAGGGUACGGUAGAGGGAAGCGGAAUUUCCGGUGUAGCGGUGAAAUGCGUAGAUAUCGGAAGGAACAUCAGUGGCGAAAGCGGCUUCCUGGACCAGUACCGACGUUCAGGCACGAAAGCGUGGGGAGCAAACAGG